UGAGUGACAGCAAGCCUCCUGGCCUCU
rnacentral:piRNA from 1 species